rnacentral:rRNA from 1 species
GAUGAACGCUGGCGGCGUGCCUAAUACAUGCAAGUCGAGCGAACGGACGAGAAGCUUGCUUCUCUGAUGUUAGCGGCGGACGGGUGAGUAACACGUGGAUAACCUACCUCUAAGACUGGGAUAACUUCGGGAAACCGGAGCUAAUACCGGAUCAUAUUUUGAACCGCAUGGUUCAAAAGUGAAAGACGGUCUUGCUGUCACUUAUAGAUGGAUCCGCGCUGCAUUAGCUAGUUGGUAAGGUAACGGCUUACCAAGGCAACGAUGCAUAGCCGACCUGAGAGGGUGAUCAGCCACACUGGAACUGAGACACGGUCCAGACUCCUACGGGAGGCAGCAGUAGGGAAUCUUCCGCAAAGGGCGAAAGCCUGACGGAGCAACGCCGCGUGAGUGAUGAAGGUCUUCGGAUCGUAAAACUCUGUUAUUAGGGAAGAACAUAUGUGUAAGUAACUGUGCACAUCUUGACGGUACCUAAUCAGAAAGCAACGGCUAACUACGUG